AGCUUUACUGUAGCCUGAUAUUGAAAUUCGGCACAGCUUGUACAGGAUAGGUAGGAGCCUUUGAAACGUGAGCGCUAGCUUACGUGGAGGCGCUGGUGGGAUACUACCCUAGCUGUGUUGGCUUUCUAACCCACACCACUUAUCGUGGUGGGAGACAGUGUCAGGCGGGCAGUUUGACUGGGGCGGUCGCCUCCUAAAAGGUAACGGAGGCGCUCAAAGGUUCCCUCAGAAUGGUUGGAAAUCAUUCAUAGAGUGUAAAGGCAUA
rnacentral:rRNA from 1 species